rnacentral:tRNA from 1 species
GCGCUAAUAGCUCAGUUGGGAGAGCGUCAGACUGAAGUCAUUCGGUCCUAUCCAAUAUCCGGGGUAAUCUGAAGGUCACCCGUUCAAUCCGGGUUUGGCGCA